UUACAGAAGAUCCAAAUAAAUGAAGAAGUGGGAGAAAUCAAUGCCAUGAGGAGCAAUGGCAAUCCACAGCUUAGAGUGAAGUUACACGUUGGAGCAAGGCCUGUGCAAUGAAAAGGCUGAAACACUCCUCAUAGACACAAAGGAAAACCUGCAGAAAUGGAAAGACCAUGUUUUUGGCCAGGAAGACUCAACACCGUAAAGCUGUCAAUUCUCCCUAAGUACAUUUCUAAAUUUAAUGUGAUCCCAAUAAAAUACCAACAGUUUUUUUUUUAACCCAGACAAGCUGAAUUCUAAAGUUCAUGUGAAAAAAAAUGAAGAAAUAAAAACAUUAAGAAAAACUCCGAAAAGAAGAGUAAUAUCAGUGGAUUCAUUCAAGCAGAUACUAAAACAUAUUAAAAGUCUCAGUAAUUGAAACCAUGAGGAACUGAUGCAUGAAGAGCGAGACAGGCCAAUCAACCAUAAUAGAAAGCCCAGAAAUAGAAGCAAAUAUGCACGUGGGAUAUUAGUGUACCAAAAGAGUGUCUCUAAAAUCAGUGAGAGAAAUGAUUAACUGUCCAAUAAAUGUGGCUGGGGUCACUGGUUGGCCAUGUGGAAAAAUGAUAAAGUUAGCGUCAAACUUAUGAUUGUCUACCAGGACAAAUUCCAAAUGGAUCGAGGACUGAGGAGCAAAAACUAUGUCACCAACAUCCCAGAAGAAAACAUGAGAAAAGCCGUUUAUAAACUCAGAGUAAGAAAGCUCUUUCAAACCGCGACUCAAGAAGAGAGGGCAUCAGAGGGGAAAAACAGAGAAAUUAAGCUACAUUAAGGAACACUUUAUAUCAACACAGAGAGUGAAAAGUAACUAAUUGGCUUGAUAAACUCAUAUUUCGUCAAAGGACUGAUUUCCCUGAUUUAUGAAGUGGUUUUAGAAUCAGCGAGAUAAAGGAGCAAGGGCCCAGAAGAAAAUCCAUAAGGCAGAGGCAAGCAUUCAGUGAAGGGUCUGCUUGCUUGUGAUCACAGAAUUAAUGCAGAUUAAAACUAUGCAGAGAUCCAAGUUUCAUGCGAGAUUGAGAAGAAACACCCAAGAGCCUGAGGACAUAUCCUUUCUGCGAGGAUAUGUGAUGGUUAAUAUUGCCUGUCAACCUGGUAGGCUCUGGAGUUACCUAGGGAACAAACCUCUGGACACACAGGAAAGUCAAAUGUGAGUUCUCAGCUACUGCUCCAGUACUAUGCCUGCCUGCCUGAUGCUGUGCUCCCUGCAUGAAGUUCAUGGACUCACCUUCUCACCUGUAAGCAAAACCCUAAUUCUAUGCCUUCGUUAUAAGUUGCCUUAUCAUGGUGUCUUCUUACAGCAAUAAAACAGUAACUAAGA